rnacentral:rRNA from 1 species
CCUGGUUGAUCUUGCCAGUAGUCAUAUGCUUGUCUCAAAGAUUAAGCCAUGCAAGUGAAAGUAUAUAUAUAUUUUAUAUGUAGAAACUGCGAACGGCUCAUUAAAACAGUUAUAGUCUACUUGACAUUUUUAUUAUAAGGAUAACUACGGAAAAGCUGUAGCUAAUACUUGCUUUAUUAUCCUUUGAUUUUAUAUCUUAGGAUAAGUACUUGUUAGGCCUUAUAAGAAAAAAGUUAUUAACUUAAGGAAUUAUAACAAAGAAGUAACACGUAAUAAAUUUAUUUUAUUUAGUGUGUAUCAAUCGAGUUUCUGACCUAUCAGCUUUUGAUGUUAGGGUAUUGGCCUAACAUGGCUAUGACGGGUAACGGGGAAUUAGAGUUCGAUUCCGGAGAGGGAGCCUGAGAAAUAGCUACCACAUCUAAGGAAGGCAGCAGGCGCGUAAAUUACCCAAUUCUAAAGAAGAGAGGUAGUGACAAGAAAUAACAAUGCAAGGCCAAUUUUUGGUUUUGUAAUUGGAAUGGUGGGAAUUUAAAACCUUCCCAGAGUAACAAUUGGAGGGCAAGUCUGGUGCCAGCAGCCGCGGUAAUUCCAGCUCCAAUAGCGUAUAUUAAAAUUGUUGCAGUUAAAACGCUCGUAGUUGAAUUUCAAGGAAUCGAUAUUUUAUUGUAACUAUAUUAGGGGAACUAUUUUAGCUUCGCGCUUUAAUACGUUUCCUCUAUUAUUAUGUUCUUUAAAUAACAAAGAUUCUUUUUAAAAUCCCCACUUUGCUUUUAUGCUUUUUGGGGAUUUUGUUACUUUGAGUAAAUUAGAGUGUUCAAAGCAAACAGUUAAAGCAUUUUACUGUGUUUGAAUACUAUAGCAUGGAAUAACAAAAUUGAACAGGCUGAAAUUUUUUGUUCUUUUUUCUUAUUUUGGCUUAGUUACGAUUAAUAGGAGUAGCUUGGGGACAUUCGUAUUCAGAUGUCAGAGGUGAAAUUCUUAGAUUUUCUGGAGACGAACAACUGCGAAAGCAUUUGUCUAAAAUACUUCCAUUAAUCAAGAACGAAAGUUAAGGGAGUGAAGACGAUCAGAUACCGUCGUAAUCUUAACCAUAAACUAUGCCGACUAGGUGUUGGAUGAAAGUGUUAAAAAUAAAAGUCAUCUUUCGAGGUGACUUUUAGAUUGCUUCCUUCAGUACCUUAUGAGAAAUCAAAGUCUUUGGGUUCUGGGGCGAGUAUUCGCGCAAGCGAGAAAGUUAAAAGAAUUGACGGAAGGGCACCACCAGGCGUGGAGCUUGCGGCUUAAUUUGACUCAACACGGGGAAACUCACUAGUUUAAGACAAGAGUAGGAUUGACAGAUUAAUAGCUCUUUCUUGAUUUCUUGGAUGGUGAUGCAUGGCCGUUUUUAGUUCGUGAAUAUGAUUUGUCUGGUUAAUUCCGAUAACGAACGAGAUCUUAACCUGCUAAUUAGCGGUAAGUACGCUAUAUUCUUAUUUGAAAUUGAAUAUAGGUAAUUAUACAUUUAUUCAGUGAUCAAAUUAGGAUAUUUUUAUUAAAAUAUCCUUUUCCCUGUUCUACUAAUAAUUUGUUUUUUACUCUAUUUCUCUCUUCUUUUAAGAAUGUACUUGCUUGAUUGUAAAGCUUCUUAGAGGAACAUUGUGUGUCUAACACAAGGAAGUUUAAGGCAACAACAGGUCUGUGAUGUCCUUAGAUGAACUAGGCUGCACGCGUGCUACACUGAUAUAUAUAACGAGUUAUUAAAAAUAUGCAUUUAUUUGUAUCUUUGAUGCUUAUAUUUUGCAUACUUUUCCUCCGCCGAAAGGCGUAGGUAAUCUUUAUCAAUAUAUAUCGUGAUGGGGAUAGAUUAUUGCAAUUAUUAAUCUUGAACGAGGAAUGCCUAGUAAGCAUGAUUCAUCAGAUUGUGCUGACUACGUCCCUGCCCUUUGUACACACCGCCCGUCGCUCCUACCGAUUGAAAGAUAUGAUGAAUUGUUUGGACAAGAAAAAUGGAAUUAUAUUCUUUUUUUUCUGGAAAAACCGUAAAUCCUAUCUUUUAAAGGAAGGAGAAGUCGUAACAAGGUUUCCGUAGGUGAACCUGCGGAAG